GAUGAACGCUAGCGGCAGGCUUAACACAUGCAAGUCGAGGGGCAUCACGGGUAGCAAUACCUGGUGGCGACCGGCGGAAGGGUGCGUAACGCGUGAGCAACAUGCCCUAUACAGGGGGAUAAUCCAGGGAAACUUGGUCUAAUACCCCAUUGGAUUUAUUGGUGGCAUCAUUGAUAAAUUAAAGCUUCGGUGGUAUAGGAUUGGCUCGCGUGACAUUAGUUUGAUGGUGAGGUAACGGCUCACCAUGGCGAUGAUGUCUAGGGGUUCUGAGAGGAAGGCCCCCCACACUGGGACUGAGACACGGCCCAGACUCCUACGGGAGGCAGCAGUGAGGGAUAUUGGACAAUGGAUGGAAAUCUGAUCCAGCCAUGCCGCGUGCAGGAAGACGGCCCUAUGGGUUGUAAACUGCUUUUAUACGGGAGCAAUAAGGUCUACGCGUAGACUGAUGAGAGUACCGUAUGAAUAAGCAUCGGCUAACUCCGUGCCAGCAGCCGCGGUAAUACGGAGGAUGCGAGCGUUAUCCGGAUUUAUUGGGUUUAAAGGGUGCGUAGGCGGCUUUGUAAGUCAGCGGUGAAAUUUUGCAGC
rnacentral:rRNA from 1 species